UACAGAGGGUGCGAGCGUUGUCCGGAAUCACUGGGCGUAAAGGGCGCGUAGGUGGCCCGACAAGUCUGUGGUGAAAGCUCGACGCUCAACGUCGAGUCGGCCAUAGAUACUGUUGGGCUGGAGCACUGUAGAGGCUCAUGGAAUUCCGGGUGUAGUGGUGAAAUGCGUAGAGAUCCGGAGGAACACCAGUGGCGAAGGCGACACGCUGGGCCGUACCUGACACUGAGGCGCGAUAGCAUGGGGAGCAAACAGG
rnacentral:rRNA from 1 species